GCAGGGUACCAAUUCUCAACCUCCAGGACAGCUGGCAUCACGAAGAUGGUGUGAGACUGUAUUAUGCUUCUGAAGGACAGCCUGGCCGUGUUGGGGAGCCUCUCAGACCUACCCAGCUCGGUAUGCAGUGCCUCAGAACCCCUUCCCCAGCAUGCUGGUCCCCAGCCGCCGGUUGCAGGCAGCCGAAGCUGCGCGGUUUCGUGGUUCUCCUGCAUCUGCUGUUGAUAUUUCCCGGUGGGUGCAAGGCUGACACCAGCGAAGCAAAUAAAUUCUUCAGUCCUAGAAACAGCAGAAAGCCCAGCAUGGCUCAGCCCAGCCCUUUGGAUGGGAAUAACAGACACCUUCCAACUUCUGACAGCGGGGACAGGAAACUGAUGGAUGUCUUAAUAUAUUUACGCCUGGCGUCUUGAGCAAGCGCUGUGCUGGUGGGAAGGGAUAUGUUUGCAAUUAAAGCCAAUGAGUUAGCUGAGGGUUUUUUUCCCUCCCUUUUUUAUCCUUUUUAUUGUGUUUUGCUCUGUCUUUUUAAAAGGGAAAAAAAAAAAAAAAAGAGAGAGAAAGAACUUAGGAGUUUUCAAUAGUACAGAAUUGCUUUUGGAAAGGAGAAUCUGCCGAACCAAAAGCAGCUCUUUUGCAAGUAGGGAAAUAAGGAUGCUAAGAUCUCCCUCUCUUUUCCUGCUCUCAGUCAUCCAAUGAUUUGAUUAAAACAAAAUCAAAAACUUUAGAAAUAUUAAAACCUAGUAAAAGAAACCCCCCUAAAUGUAAUAAUGAUAACAUAGACAUUUUAAUCUUAGGAGCAUUUAUCUCUCCUUUGUAUUUAACAAUCCAAAGUCCUCAUUUCUGGAGCUUCACAGAAUACAUCACAAUAUUUUGACUAUUAAUUUGUUCUUCCCCCUCUUUUUUUUCUCCCAAGGAAUAAGAGAGUUAUUAAUUAUACUCUUAUCCUUAAGUGCUAGUAAAGCUUUAAGUUAACAUUUCCUAAUAGGCAUUUAAUUCUGAUUUAAUAAGACAAUUAUUGUAUUAUAAACAAAUAUCCAUUGAUUAUUAAACACAUUUAUUUUGGAUUAGCAGCAGUUCCAUAGAUAUGAUAGCCAUUAAACAUCAAUGAAAAGACUUCCAUUAACAAACUGAUUUAUUUACCAUGGCAUAAGUGUUCUGUUCAAUCUAAAUUAAAUAUCUAUUUGGGAAUCCUUGUUACCAAAGGCAGCUCCGUGUUUGAAUGAGGCACAAAAAGCAUUUCCAGUUCAGAUUGGUGAGAUGCAAUCUCAGAAAUAAUCAAUCUGUACAUAUAAAAAAAGAGACUUUGGUUACUGCCAGAUAACUAAUUAUACAGGCACAGCCUUUGUGCAUGUCUGUGUGAGAUAUUCUUUGUUAUUUCCUUUCUUCUGAACUUUGAUGCUGUUUAAAAAUAAAUUGGAUUACCCAGUGGUUAUUUA